GAGGGUAUAGCUGAGGGGUAAAUUGCGUGCUUGGCAUGCACAAGGUCCUGGGUUCAAUCCCCAGUACCUCCA
rnacentral:tRNA from 1 species